AUACUUUCUUUUCUCUUCUCUGCAGGCUCGGAGUGCAAGGAUGAGGGGGACAAGGGAUGUUCUGCUUGAUAGUUAUGGUCACAGAGAAGACAAGGUCAGCUCCCAGACUACUGCACAAGGCAUCACAGUUUGGGGAGGAGGUAAGCAGCCAACAGUGGUGGUUAGGGACUAUUUAGAAAGGGUGGAUAUAUACAAGUCCAUGGGGCCAAAUGGGAUGCACCCAAGGGUGCUGAGGGAGUUAGCUGAUGUGAUUGCUGAGUUAUUGGCCAUGAUUUUUGAAAACUCAUGGUGAUCAGGAGAGGUCCUGGAUAACUGAAUAGGGGCAAAUAUGAUGACCAUGUUUAAGAAAGGAAGGAGGAUCUGGGGAACUACAGACCUACUCACCUCAGUCCCUGAAAAAAUCAUGGGGCAGGUUCUAAAGGAAUACAUUUACAAGCAUUUUGAGGACAAUGUGAUUAGGAACAGUCAGCCAGCAUGGAUUUAAGAAGGACAAAUCAUGUCUGACUGACCUCAUUGCCUUCGGUGAUGAGAUGAGUGGCUCUGUCGAUGUGGGGAGAGCAGUGGAUGUGAAAUGCCUUGCCAUUAGCAAGUCUUUUGAUACUGUUUCCCGCAACAUUCUGGUGAGCGAGCUAAGGAAGUAUGGGUUGGAUGAAUGCACUGUAAGGUGGAUAUAAAAUGAGCUAAAUCAUUCUGCUUAAAGGUUUGUAAUCAAUGGCUCAAUGUCUAGUUGGCAGCCAGUACCAAGUGGGAUGCCCUUGGGGCGUCAGUCCUGGGGCCUGUUCAAUAUUUUUCAAUAUUUUCAUCAGUGAUCUAGAACAUAAGAUGAAGUGCACCCUCAGCAAGUUUGCAGAUGACACCAUUCUGGGGGACUAGUAGACACACUAGAGAGUAUGGCUAGGAUUCAUAGAGCCAUAGACCAUUUGGAGGAUUGGACCAAAAGAAAUCUCAUGAAGUUCAAUAAGGAAAAGGACAGGCUAAGGGGUGAUCUGGUGGCCACAUAUAAGUUUAUCAGGGGUGCUCAUCAGGAUCUGGGAGAAUGUCUGUUAACCAGAGCACCCCAAGGGAUGACAAACUCAAAUGGUCACAAACUCCUGCAUGACCAUUUCUCACUGAACAUAAGGAAGAACUUCUUUACUGUUGGAGCCCCCAAGGUUUUGAAUAGACUGCCGCCAGAAGUGUUUCAAGCACCUACUUUGAAUGCCUUCAAGUGACAUUUUGAUGUCUAUCUUGCUGGGAUCCUAUGAUCCCUGCUGACUUCCUGCCCCUGGGGCAGGGGGCUGGACCCAAUGAUCUUCCGAGGUCCCUUCUAGCCCUAAUGUCUAUGAAAUCUAUUAAACUACCUAAAGGUGGUUCCAAAGAGGGAGAUAAACUGUUCUCAGUGGUGGUAGAUGACAGAGCAAGGAGUAAUGGUCUCAAGUUGUAGCAAGGGAAGUUUAGAUUGCAUAUUAGGAAAAACCUUCUCACUAGGAGGAUAGUAAAACACUGGAACAGGUUACCCAGAGAGGUUAUCCUUGGAGGUUUUUAAGACCUGGCUAGACAAAUCCUUGGCUGGGAAGAUAUAGUUGGGGAUGGUCCUGCUUUUAGUUGUGGAUUGGACUAGAUGAGCUCCUGACAUCCCUUCCAACAUUAAUUUUCUAAGAUUCUAGUUGCAGAUUUUUAGGUAUAUUCUCAGGAUGCAUAUCCUCUGGGAAGUAAAUCCAGCAUGGACGAAAUAUAGCCAUAACCUGCCUAACAUAUGAUACCCCAGGAAGAGCAGAGACCAACUACAGAUGCUUCCUCAGCCUGACAAAGGGUGUUUGUACCUGAAAGCUUGCAAAG